AGCUUUGCGCAGUGGCAGUAUCGUAGCCAAUGAGGUUUAUCCGAGGCGCGAUUAUUGCUAAUUGAAAACUUUUCCCAAAGUUCCAAAUUAAACUGGUUAAAAUUUUCCCAGGGCACAGACAUUUUUAUAAAUUAGUAGUUAAA